rnacentral:rRNA from 1 species
AGAACGAACGCUGGCGGCAUGCCUAACACAUGCAAGUCGAACGCUCUUGAGGCUUCGGUUUCAAGGGAGUGGCGCACGGGUGAGUAGCGCGUGGGAACCUGCCCUGUUGUGGGGGAUAACCGAGGGAAACUUCGGCUAAUACCGCAUGCGCCCGGGGAAACCCGGGGAAAGAUUUAUCGCAGCAGGAGGGGCCCGCGUCGGAUUAGGUAGUUGGUAGGGUAACGGCCUACCAAGCCUUUGAUCCGUAGCUGGUCUGAGAGGAUGAUCAGCCACACUGGGACUGAGACACGGCCCAGACUCCUACGGGAGGCAGCAGUGGGGAAUAUUGGACAAUGGGCGCAAGCCUGAUCCAGCAAUGCCGCGUGAGUGAUGACGGCCUUAGGGUUGUAAAGCUCUUUCGCUCGGGACGAUAAUGACGGUACCGAGAUAAGAAGCCCCGGCUAACUUCGCGCCAGCAGCCGC